rnacentral:snRNA from 1 species
GGAUGUGAGGACGAUCUGGCUGCGACAUCUGUCACCCCAUUGAUUGCCAGGGUUGAUUUGGCUGAUCUGGCUGACUAGGUUGGUGUCCCCUUCCUCCCUCACCACUCCAUGUGUGUUCCUCCCAAAGCUGCAUGCUUGGUCGAAGAGGACGACCUUCCUGAUAGAGGAGGACCAUUCUUAGGUCAAGAGUAUAUAAUUAGCUGUGCUCCCCUUCUAGAACCUCUAAACAAACUCUUAAAAUACACCUUCAUGAAUGAAGCUGAUGCUGGUCACUGAUGGAAAUAUGGCACUUUCGCAGUUGUUGUAAAGCUGUUUACAAUCUAACAAGGGAA